rnacentral:misc_RNA from 1 species
GAUGAAGAACGUAGCGAAAUGCGAUAAGUAAUGUGAAUUGCAGAAUUCAGUGAAUCGUCGAAUCUUUGAACGCACAUUGCGCCCGCCAGUAUUCUGGCGGGCAUGCCUGUCUGAGCGCCAUUUCAACCCUCAUGCCCCUAGGGCGUGGUGUUGGGGAUCGGCCAAAGCCCGCGAGGGACGGCCGGCCCCUAAAUCUAGUGGCGGACCCGUCGUGGCCUCCUCUGCGAAGUAGUGAUAUUCCGCAUCGGAGAGCGAUGAGCCCCUGCCGUUAAACCCCCAACUUUCCAAGGUUGACCUCAGAUCAGGUAGGAAUACCCGCUGAACUUAAGCAUAUCAAUAAGCGGAGGA